GAACGCUGGCGGCGUGCCUAAUACAUGCAAGUCGAGCGAACCAAUUGAAAGCCUAGCUUUCAUGAGGUUAGCGGCGGACGGGUGAGUAACACGUGGGUAACCUGCCCUAUAGACUGGGAUAACUCGCGGAAACGCGUGCUAAUACCGGAUAAYACAUCARAGUGCAUGCUUUGAUGUUGAAAGAUGGUUCUGCUAUCACUAUAGGAUGGGCCCGCGGCGCAUUAGCUUGUUGGUGGGGUAACGGCCUACCAAGGCGACGAUGCGUAGCCGACCUGAGAGGGUGAUCGGCCACACUGGGACUGAGACACGGCCCAGACUCCUACGGGAGGCAGCAGUAGGGAAUCUUCCACAAUGGGCGAAAGCCUGAUGGAGCAACGCCGCGUGAGCGAAGAAGGUCUUCGGAUCGUAAAGCUCUGUUGUAAGGGAAGAACAAGUGCAGUAGUAACUGGCUGCACCU
rnacentral:rRNA from 1 species